rnacentral:rRNA from 1 species
UACAACGGAGAGUUUGAUCCUGGCUCAGGAUGAACGCUAGCGGCAGGCCUAACACAUGCAAGUCGAACGGUAACAGAGAAGAGCUUGCUCUUUUGCUGACGAGUGGCGCACGGGUGCGUAACGCGUAUGCAACUUACCCCUAACUGGAGGAUAGCCUUUCGAAAGGAAGAAUAAUACUCCAUAAUAUUUCUCUAUGGCAUCAUAGAGUUCUUAAAGCUUUGGCGGUUAGGGAUAGGCAUGCGUUCUAUUAGUUAGUUGGUGAGGUAACGGCUCACCAAGACCUCGAUAGAUAGGGGGCCUGAGAGGGUUAUCCCCCACACUGGUACUGAGACACGGACCAGACUCCUACGGGAGGCAGCAGUGAGGAAUAUUGGUCAAUGGACGAAAGUCUGAACCAGCCAUGCCGCGUGCAGGAUGACGGCCCUAUGGGUUGUAAACUGCUUUUAUAUAGGAAGAAACCCCUCUACGUGUAGAGGGCUGACGGUACUAUACGAAUAAGGACCGGCUAACUCCGUGCCAGCAGCCGCGGUAAUACGGAGGGUCCAAGCGUUAUCCGGAUUCAUUGGGUUUAAAGGGUCCGCAGGCGGGAAGAUAAGUCAGUGGUGAAAGCCUACAGCUCAACUGUAGAACUGCCAUUGAUACUGUUUUUCUUGAAUAUAGAUGAAGUGGGCGGAAUGUGUCAUGUAGCGGUGAAAUGCAUAGAUAUGACACAGAACACCGAUUGCGAAGGCAGCUCACUAAACUAUUAUUGACGCUCAUGGACGAAAGCGUGGGGAGCGAACAGGAUUAGAUACCCUGGUAGUCCACGCCGUAAACGAUGAUUACUCGGUGCUAGCGAUAUACUGUUAGUGCCUAAGCGAAAGUGAUAAGUAAUCCACCUGGGGAGUACGGUCGCAAGAUUGAAACUCAAAGGAAUUGACGGGGGCCCGCACAAGCGGUGGAGCAUGUGGUUUAAUUCGAUGAUACGCGAGGAACCUUACCUGGGCUUAAAUGUAUUUUGACAGAUCUGGAAACAGAUUUUUCUUCGGACAAUUUACAAGGUGCUGCAUGGUUGUCGUCAGCUCGUGCUGUGAGGUGUCGGGUUAAGUCCCAUAACGAGCGCAACCCCUAUCUUUAGUUGCCAGCGAGUAAUGUCGGGGACUCUAAAGAAACUGCCGGUGCAAACCGUGAGGAAGGUGGGGAUGACGUCAAAUCAUCACGGCCCUUACGUCCAGGGCUACACACGUGCUACAAUGGUGCAUACAAAGGGCAGCUAUCUGGUGACAGAAUGCUAAUCUCUAAAGUGCAUCUCAGUUCGGAUCGAAGUCUGCAACUCGACUUCGUGAAGCUGGAAUCGCUAGUAAUCGCGUAUCAGCCAUGACGCGGUGAAUACGUUCCCGGGCCUUGUACACACCGCCCGUCAAGCCAUGGAAGCUGGGGGUGCCUGAAGUCGGUAACCGCAAGGAGCUGCCUAGGGUAAAACUAGUAACUGGGGCUAAGUCGUAACAAGGUAGCCGUACCGGAAGGUGCGGCUGGAACACCUCCUUUUUAGA